CUCCACCUCAGGCUCACAGAACUAGUUUAGAUAUAGCUCCACAGGCUCCAUUUUCACCUGUCGUGUUUUGUGAAAGGCCUAGGGAAGAACAAGAUAUCAAAAAA